GUUGGGAAAAGUUUUGAGGUGGUGUUGUUGUUUUUUUCCCUUCCUUUUCUCCCUUGUCUUUCUGGCUGGGGGUGUUGUCAAAGUCUUUUUUUGAAGAAUCUUUGGGUGAGUGUAACUUUAAGGAAAAUUCUUUCUUUGCUCUCUCCUUUUGUCCUCCUCCCCUUAACCCUUCGGCAGCCAGAUGGAAUUUGCACCCCUUUCUCUGUACUUUCUGGUUUUUCCAAGGCAGCCAGCCAGCCAGCCAGCCACCCCCUCCCCGCUUGCCCCCAAAUCAGCCGGCUAUGCUAAUCUUUCAGGUCUUUGCUGCUGCUAUCGCACAAGGUUGCGGCUGUGUGUAGGAGUUGUCUGUGUUGGGGAGUGAGAUUCAAGAAAGGGAAGCAGUCUCUUCCCCAAUCGCUCUUCUCUCUCUCUCUCUCUCUCUCAUUCACUCACUCACUCUCCCUGUCUUUUGAAGAAGACAGAAUAAGCAAGAAGUUAACUCCCUUGAGUAAGCAACUUUAUUGUAGGCUCUGAGUAGAGACUCCUCUGGGCUCAGAAGCCGAAGUAGGAGGAACCCAAGACUGAACCGGAGAGAAGACUAAAAAAAUAAUAAUCAGCUGUUCUUCAAGACACCAGAAAAGCAGAGUUGGGAAGAAGAAGAAGAAGAAGAAGAAAGCAAAUUUUGCUAAGCCCAAAAGCAAAUGAAUGCAGGGAUUUUGAAAAGGGGGGAGCAAAAUCCUCUGGGAUAGUCCCUAAAAUUCCCUCUGUCCUUCCUCUUCCUUUUUGUUUAAAUGAUGCAGACAAAUGUUUUGAGUUGAGGAAUUUAUUUCCAGACUUUCGGGAAGAGUUUUGGGCACAACGUCGGAUCCCUCUCACUUCCCCCGGCCUCUUGGGUGCUGCGGACUUCGUCACUUGUUGGGGUUUAUUUUGUUUGUUUGGACUGCAGUGAUCAUUUCUUCUCCGGCCGCUUUUUUAAUGAUUCGGUAAAGGCGGGUUGCUGCUUCUUGGGAAGAGAUCUGGGGGUUUUUUCCCCCCAACGGAUUGUUGUUGUUUUUUUUCAUUUCCCCCCCCCCUGUUUUUCUUCCACCGAUGAGCCACUAAACUUUCUUGAAAGCUGGGAUGAUGUUCGAGGGAACUUUUCGGUUUGGGAAGAUGGACCAAGUGAGCUGGUGCUUCCUGUCCGGUCUGCUGGCUUGGUCGAUGGGCAUCAGCCUCACCCAAGAAGCUGGUUACUUCCAAGAAAGUCCUUCAAAUUUGACCUCGUCUUUGGGGAAGGACGUGAAACUCACCUGCUCAGUUCUGGCCCAGGGCGAGGCACCGGAGAUCAGCUGGCUGAGGGAUGGUGAGGCCUUCGAAUUUGCCGACAUUAACCAGAUCCAGGUGCCUUUGGAAGAAGAGGAAUGGAUGACCACCAGCGAACUGAGCAUCUCUUCCCUCCAGCUCUCGGACAUGGGAAAUUACCAGUGUGUCGCCUUGAUGAAUGGAUCUGAAUUUUUUUCUGAAGAAGCUUACCUGCAGUUAGAAGGCCUCCCCUUUUUCUCCGAGGAGCCCCAAGAUCUGGAGAUCACGGCCGGUACUCCGUUCAACCUCAGCUGCGCAGCCCAGGGCCCCCCGGAACCUGUCUCGGUCAUCUGGUUGCAGGACAGCGUUCCCCUUAACUCCUUGGCGGAACCCCUGGCCGAGACCCCUUCCGUGUUGGGGGUGAGAGGGCUGAAUCACAGCGCCUCCUUCUCCUGCGAAGCCCACAAUGCCAAGGGGGUCAGCACCUCCCGAACUGCGGUGGUAAAAGUGUUACCUGGACGGCCAUGUGACUUAUCCGUUGCCCAGCGUAGUGACCACAGCCUGGACGUGACGUGGGAGCCCGGUUUUAGCGGCGCCUAUGCGCAGGAGUUCUGCGCCAUCCAGGCUAUGCGCUCCGAUGAAGACCUGAGCACCGUUUCCAACGAGCUGUAUAACCGCAAGAUCCGCGUCCCGCCUUUCAGCCACACGCUGGACGGCCUGGCAGCCUUCACCACCUACCACGUGCGCGUGGCCUGCCAUUCCACCGAGGGCCACUCGCCCUGGACCCACUGGGUCGCUAUGGACACCUUGGAAGGGGCGCCUGCAACCGCCCCGGAAAACGUUGUGGCUAUUCAGAAUGGCAGCGGCACCAUCAUCCAGUGGGGACAACCGCAGGGCAGCAUCAACGGGAUACUUCGGGGGUACAAACUGGUGUGUCAAAGUGGGGAGUCCCCCGAGGUGAUCGUGGACGUGGGACUGACCAACGAGACAAUUUUGUCUCUGAACUCGAGCGUACGGAACUUGACCGUCCGGAUUGCAGCCUACACCGGCGCCGGAGACGGACCCUGGAGUGAAGCCGUCAUGAUCCUCUCCUCGGAACCAGGUGAACUACUGCCAGCUCCUCAGUCAGUAGGAAUCUCCGUCCCUGCCUUCUCGUGGCACUGGUGGUACGUAGUGAUCGCCGUGGCCACCGCCGUGGCAGCCACCAUCUUCAUUAUCAUCUUCUUGGCACGUAUGAGGAAAAAGGAAACACGCUACGGGGAAGCAUUUGAGCCCAACAUGGAACAGGGAGAGCUAGUGGUUCAUUAUCGCGCCCGGAAAUCGUACAGCCGCCGGACCACUGAAGCUACUUUGAACAGUCUGGGCAUCAGUGAAGAAUUGAAGGAAAAGCUUCAGGAUGUAAUGAUUGACCGCCAUAGAGUGGCUCUGGGCAAGACCCUUGGUGAAGGAGAAUUUGGCUCGGUUAUGGAGGGUCAACUCAGCCAAGACGGUGCCGUCUUUAAAGUUGCGGUCAAGACAAUGAAGAUUGCCAUAUGCACCCGCAGCGAGAUGGAGGACUUCCUCAGUGAGGCUGUUUGCAUGAAGGACUUUGACCAUCCCAACGUCAUGAAACUGAUCGGCGUCUGUCUGCAGAACACAGAAAGCGAAGGCUACCCAUCUCCUGUAGUGAUCCUGCCUUUCAUGAAACAUGGAGAUCUACACAGCUUCCUGCUAUACUCCCGGCUCGGGGAGAGCCCUGUGUACUUGCCCACGCAGACGUUGGUGAGGUUCAUGGUGGACAUUGCAAGUGGCAUGGAGUACCUCAGUAGUAAGAACUUCAUUCAUCGGGACCUCGCGGCCCGCAACUGCAUGCUUAACGAAAGCAUGACAGCCUGCGUGGCCGAUUUCGGCCUCUCCAAGAAGAUCUACAACGGUGAUUAUUACCGCCAAGGUCGUAUCUCUAAGAUGCCGGUCAAGUGGAUUGCCAUCGAGAGUCUGGCCGAUCGUGUUUAUACCACCAAGAGCGAUGUGUGGUCCUUUGGAGUCACCAUGUGGGAAAUCGCCACGAGAGGCCAGACGCCUUAUCCCGGGGUAGAAAACAGCGAAAUUUACGACUACCUACGUCAAGGCAACCGACUCAAGCAGCCGAUUGACUGCCUGGAUAGCCUGUAUGAGCUGAUGAUGAGUUGUUGGACGCUGAACCCCCGCGACCGUCCCACUUUCGAAAUCCUGUCCCAGGAGCUGGAGAAGACCCUCAAGUCACUCCCACCGCCCAAAGAUCCCGAGGAGAUCCUCUACGUCAACAUGGACGACGGAGUGGCCCCCGCCGAGGCGGAGCUGGGCGCCGUGGGAGGCUUGGCCCCCGAGGAAGCCCUGGCUAAGGAGAUAAAGGCCAUGGUCACAUCUGCCGAAGUCCAUCCCCCGCAGGCGACGGGCCGCUACGUGAUGUGUCCCACUCCCCUCGAGAACAGCCGGCUCUUGACCGAGACCCUCAGCUGCGCCGCCACUGAGGAAGGGGCUUAAAAAAAAGGGAAGAUCUGCAGACCCCAUGCGCUGGGUGUCUAUGGAGAUGUUGCAAGGCUGGUGACCCCUUCCCCCCCACCUCUCCGCCUCCAAGAGGGGUCUUCCAAAGACAAACCCUUGAGACCCACAUCCAUCCUUCACCCCACGAAUCGCCCACUCCUGAUUCUGUUGACCUCUGUCCCGAAUUGAGGUCUUCCUGACCCCCUCCAGUCACCUGGACCGGAGUGAUUUCCAAAAGGCCAGCCCCCUCCGUGGGUCUCGUGGCCCCUCUUUCUCCCUCUCUGGGCCCAGCAUCCCUUCUUGCUCACCUCAAGGCAAACCCACUGACUCGGAGACGAUGCAAAGAUAGCGACUAGAGAGAGAGAGAGAGAAAGAGAGAGACAGAGUCCUUUUCGGGAGCCAGUGGGGAGGGGAACCUGCCUUUUCUUCUUCCAUUCCCAAUAGUCACACAGCUUUUCAGCCCCUUUGUGCUAUCAUGCAGCAGCCCGAACACAGAAAUUGCUCCGAGUUGUCAUUUGCUCCAUCGGAACGGGCUGAACAAACCACAAUAAGUCAAAUUUCCCGGAAGUCAUCUAAGCCAUAAACUUCCAAACAAUGGGCUGGGUUCACCUCAAGGGUAAAAUGCUCCCAGUUCGGACCGGAUCGCCCGAUCCGGUAGCAAUGGCGGCGGGUGGUUUUUUGUUUUUUGUUUGUUUACAUUUAUAUCCCGCCCUUCUCCGAAGACUCAGGGCGGCUUACAGUGUAUAAGGCAAUAGUCUCAUUCUAUUUGUAUAUUUUACAAAGUCAACUUAUUGCCCCCCCAACAAUCUGGGUCCUCAUUUUACCUAUCUUAUAAAGGAUGGAAGGCUGAGUCAACCUUGGGCCGGGCUUGAACCUGCAGUAAUUGCAGGCUACUGUGUUCUAAUAACAGGCUCUAACAGCCUGAGCUAUUACGGCCUAUUACUGGUUUGAAGAACCAGUAGCAAAAAUCUCUGCCUCCUCCAUGCCCAGCUGAGCCGCAUGAUCAUCAGAGGGUUUUUUUAUUUUUUUAUUUUUAAAAGCAUUUUUUUCUUUGGCCGGAAAAAUGCUUUUAAAAGGCUCUGAUGAACCCAGCUGAGUUGCCUGAUUGUCAGAGGCUUUUUUUUCUUUUAAAGGCAAAAAAAAAUGCUUUUAAAAGAAAAGAAAAGCCUCUGAUGAUCAGGCAGCUCAGCUGGGAUCGUCAGAGGAGCCUUUUAAAAGCAUUUUUUCUACAACCUCUUCGGCCGUAGAGGUUGUAGAAAAAAGGCUUUUAAAAGUAAAAAAAAAAAAAAAGUUGGCCAUGCCCACCCAGUCACAUUAGAAAACCCCCCCCCAAGCUACGCCCACAGAACCGGUAGUAACAAAUUUUACUUUUCACCCCCGGUUCACCUGCUGUAUCCCUUAACGAUGUCAGUCUUAUCGGGCGGCUAAUUGGCUCGGAUGUCACUCUUAAGCCAUGUUUUUCAACCUUGGCGACUUGAAGGUGGGUGGACUUCAACUCCCAGAAUUCCCCAGCCGGCAGAAGGUAGAAAGGCCGGCUAGGGGAUUCUGGGAGUCGGAGUCCACUCAUCUUCAAGUCACGAAGUUUAAGAAAUAUCCUCCUGCUUUUACCUUUUUUUUUUUUUUGUAAAAUAUGGUUUACAAAAGGCUGGGUUUGUACAGCAUAUGAAGUCAAAAUAAGGUAACUUUAUGGUGUAGCAUGUUACAUGAACCCUGUUCAUCUUAGGGUGCAAACCCAGCCAUCCUGGCUGUGAAGGUUUUGGGGGCAAAUUUUACUCUCUAAAUCAGGGCUGCCAAGGUUUGGAGACCCCUGCUCUAAAUUCCCUCCAUGAGUGAUAGUCCCCCAGCCCAGUAAACUAAAGGCCUCUAGAGGUUGCAUUCACACAACCUGCUAAGCUUAGAUUGUUUUAACCUAAAAGUCGGGAUCUGUGCAUGUCUGCAUUAGUGAGUCCGAACCCUUUAAUUUGUUUACUGUUCAAGGGCACUGUGCGAAUCCCACCCAAAGGUUAAUUCAGUAACCGGAUGAAGGACGUUGUGUGAACACAAGCAAGCCCGGGUCUGUCUUUGUUCUUCCCGUCCUUCCGACGGGAAUACAGGUGGUCCUCGUACUUAACGGCCACAACUGAGCCCCGACAUUUCCGUCGCUAAGUGGAUUUCGCUCCAUCUUACCACCUUUCUCGCCAUGAUGCUUAAGUGAGCCACCGCCGUCGUUAAAUCGGGACACACGGUUAUUAAGCGAAUCUGGCUUCCCCGUCGGACUUUGCCGGUCAGACGGUUGCAAAAAAAAGGGGGAUCACAUGACCCCCUGGAACUUGGCAACCAUCAUAACUAGGAGUCGGUUGCCAAGCGGCCAAAUUUGGAUCACGUAACCACAGGGAGGCUGCCACGGUUAUGUAAGUGUGAACAAACAAGUCAUAAAUCACAUUUUUUGAGUGCCGUUGUAACUUCGAAAGGCCAUUAAGAAAAUCGUUGUAAGUUAAGGACUACCUGAACUCUAGCUUACUCCCUCCAGUUCCUUAUCUCCUUCCUACUUUUAAUUUCCAGCUGUUUCACUGCCACGAUUGUCUGCUCAUCACCUUUGGCUGGACACCAAGGACAAAUGAAAAAGACAGUUACUCUAAACUAGGGGUCUCCAACCUUGGCAACUUUAAGCCUGGAGGACUUCAACUCCCAGAAUUCCC